CUGGACUCUGCCCACAUCAUGCAGAAUGUGUGGGAUGCAGGUUUCUCUGUGAGAGGGCAGCAGCCCUGGGGGGACCUUCCUGUUGGUCCAUGACCGCCCAGCCCACUGGGAGUUCACCUCGAGGGUGGGGAGGGGGGCUCCAUCUCUUGUCAAAAGUCCCUGCUACCUCUGGGUCUCAGUUUCCCCACCUGUUAGCCCAACUGCCUUGCAGGCCAGGAAGCUCUGGCGGCAGUCUCCCGCCCAUGCCCUGUCCUGCCACCAGAGGGCAAGCAGCCCUUCUCGGCCCGGGGCCGGCCCGGCGCAGCUGACUUUGCUCCUGCAGGGUGCUCGGCCCAUGGUACUAGGAGGCCACCUGCUAGGGCUGCCUCCGGCAGUACAGGCCUCAGAGGCAGGCCCAUCCUGGGUCAGGGCAGGCUGGGGCUGGCCCAGAAGAUUUCAGCAGAGAGGAAGGGGUUCCAGGCAGGCCGGGGGGAGGUGUGCAGGGCGCGUGUGAUGGAAGCUGCCUCCUGGGCCUCUCCCUUACCCCCUGGACGUGGAGAAGCCUCAGGUCCCACAAACCCAGACGUGCCCAGCAAGGAGAUCGGGGGGCACUGAGGCCAGCCACCUGCCACAGCCUGGAGACCAGGAAGCUUGGGGGUCUUGGAGGCUGCCUGCUGGACGCAGGGCAGAUUGAGAGUCUCAGCCGGACCACAGCUCCUGGCCUGGCAGCCGUCCAUCCGUCAGCCCACCCCACCGUCCUUCACCAUUCAAGCAAGUGGGGGAGCUGAGGAGCCCCUGGGGCUGGGGGUGGGAAGGAGAAGGAGCCCUGGGGGAGGGGGGCUUGUCAGGGGAAGGAAGGAGAGGGGAGUGGAGGGGAGGGGAGGAAGGGAGGGGAGAGGAGCAGAUGCGACCCGGCCCUGUCACAGGGAGGCUAGUGCCCCUCUGCAUAGCUCCUGCCCUUCUUCCAGCUGCCCUCUGACCCCCCUGGCCUCUGAGCACCAAGAGCCCCCGGCUCCCCGCCUCCAGGCUGCCGGGUUCUGGCCAACCCCCGCCGGUGGGAGCCGAGCCGAUGUGUGUUCUCCCUGCUGACUCUGCGAGCCCGGGGGUGGCCCGGCCCCAUCCAUCCCCUCCCUUCCCCCUGCUCCCCGCCCCUCUGCUCCUUGCCCCCUUAUCCCCUUCCUUCUCCCUCCUCCGUUCCUGUCUUCCCCAUGUCCACCACCAGCUCCCGGUCCCCACUCCAGCUGCCCAGGCCACAGUGUGAUUCGCUGUCCUGUCCUCUGAGGCUAUUUUCCCAACAGCGUUGGUAACCCCUUUCCACCAGGGAGCGGCUGACAGUAGACAAGUGGAAAAUGGAGAGAAUGGGUGACCCCCCACCUGUGAUUCCCCCGCCUGUAACCCCCAGCUGUGACCCCCAGCUGUGACCCCCACCUGUGACCCCCCACUUGUGAACCCCCCACCUGUGACCCCCACCUGUGACCCCAUCUGUGAUCCCCCACCUGUGACCCCUGACCUGUGACCCCACUUGUGACCCCCACCUGUAACCCCUCCACCAGUGACCCGCCACCUGUUACCCCCAUCUGUGACCCCCACUUGUAACCCCUACCUGUGACCUCCACAAGUGACCCACCACCUGUAACCCUGGCCUGUGA
rnacentral:lncRNA from 1 species